CCUACGGGAGGCAGCAGUAGGGAAUAUUGCUCAAUGGGGGAAACCCUGAAGCAGCAACGCCGCGUGGAGGAUGAAGGUUUUCGGAUUGUACACUCCUUUUGUUAGAGAAGAUAAUGACUGUAUCUAACAAAUACGCACCUGCUACUUCCGUGUCAGCAGCCGCGGUAAUACGGAGGGUGCAAGCGUUACUCAGAAUGACUGGGCGUAAAGAGCGCGGAGGCGGGAUAGCAAGUCAGAUGUGAAAGCCUAUGGCUUAACCAUAUACCUGCAUUUGAAACUGUUAAUCUAGAGUAUGGUAGAGGAAGGUGGAAUUCUUGGUGUAGGGGUGAAAUCCGCAGAGAUAAGGAGGAAUACUAGUUGCGAAGGCGACCUGCUAGAACAUAACUGACGCUGAUGCGCGAAAGCGUGGGGAGCAAACAGGAUUAGAUACCCGUGUAGUC
rnacentral:rRNA from 1 species